GUAUGCGGCUUAAUUUGACUCAACACGGAGAAUGUUACCAGGUCAGGAUGUAGCUGGGAUUGACAGAUUGAGAGUUCUUUCUUGAUUCUUUGGACCGUGGUGCAGGGCCCC
rnacentral:rRNA from 16 species